rnacentral:tRNA from 1 species
UACGCGUUAGCCUAAUGGUAAGGCAUUGUGUUUCGGCCACAGAGAUUACAGGUUCAAAUCUUGUACGCGUUU